rnacentral:rRNA from 1 species
AUUGAACGCUGGCGGCAUGCCUUACACAUGCAAGUCGAACGGCAGCACGGGAGCAAUCCUGGUGGCGAGUGGCGAACGGGUGAGUAAUAUAUCGGAACGUGCCCAGUCGUGGGGGAUAACGCAGCGAAAGUUGUGCUAAUACCGCAUACGAUCUAUGGAUGAAAGCGGGGGAUCGCAAGACCUCGCGCGAUUGGAGCGGCCGAUAUCAGAUUAGGUUGUUGGUGAGGUAAAAGCUCACCAAGCCUGCGAUCUGUAGCUGGUCUGAGAGGACGACCAGCCACACUGGAACUGAGACACGGUCCAGACUCCUACGGGAGGCAGCAGUGGGGAAUUUUGGACAAUGGACGCAAGUCUGAUCCAGCAAUGCCGCGUGCAGGACGAAGGCCUUCGGGUUGUAAACUGCUUUUGUACAGAACGAAAAGUCUUUAAAUAACACUAGAGGCUCAUGACGGUACUGUAAGAAUAAGACACCGGCUAAACCG